GCUUUGCAGACAGAAGAAACUGCAAGUGCAAAGGCCCGAUAAUGGGAGUGCGCCUGACACAGCAAAAUGAAUUCCCAGAUUGACCAAUAAGAAGUGAGGCAGAAAGAAAGUCUUCCUUUAUUAACUUCUGUACUCCUACUUCUCUCCUUGGAGGGGGUAAUGUUGGGCUAAAGACCAUUCCUGGUGACUAAAUUUGAAGCCAGCGUUCAACAUGUUCUGAUUGAAGUUUUAUUUCUGUGGUCAAAACUAAAAGGAUCCAUUCCUCCCUUAAUGCUAGAGACACUUAGGAAAAAAAAAAGAGAGAAGAGCUUUGAAUUCAAGUGUAACUGAAAUGAUAUUAUCAAGAAGAGCUUGACAAAAGCUUCUGCUCCAGACAGCACUCAGCAGAGACAAUGGAUUAUUCUAUUACAGACACAGGAAGCCACGGACAAAAAGAGGAAAAGAUUCAAUGGAAGAGAGAUGAUGUCCUUCAUGAUGCAAACAUCACCUAACAUUAAAUAUUUCCACAGGAUUUUAUUUCUGCUUAAAAUCUAAUUUCCUCUUGGGUUCAUGGCCUUAAGCUGGCAAAAUCCCCUCCUAAAACACUGCCAACGUCAUAUUCCUGCAGUGCCAGUGUCUCAUGGGUCACAGAGCCCUCCUCCAUGGCCUGCCUAACUGGCACUCUUCCAUCAGAGCGCCAGCCUGUGGGAACAGGUGACUCCCCAGUGGCCUCACUCACAAAGCUCAUGGAGAAACACAAUGGGUGGAGGCCAUUUUUUUUUUCUCUGCCCCCUCUACAAUCACGUACAAAAGCACCUUCUAGGAUCACCCUUCAAACUUCCAAAGAUCUCCC
rnacentral:lncRNA from 1 species